UACGUAGGGGGCAAGCGUUGUCCGGAAUCAUUGGGCGUAAAGAGCGUGUAGGCGGCCCGAUAAGUCCGCUGUGAAAGUCGGGGGCUCAACCCUCGGAGGCCGACCGAUACUGUCGGGCUAGAGUCCGGAAGAGGCGAGUGGAAUUCCUGGUGUAGCGGUGAAAUGCGCAGAUAUCAGGAGGAACACCAAUGGCGAAGGCAGCUCGCUGGGACGGUACUGACGCUGAGGCGCGAAAGCGUGGGGAGCAAACAGG
rnacentral:rRNA from 1 species